rnacentral:lncRNA from 1 species
GAAGAUUGCUUCACACUGAAAGAUGUCAGAAAUGAGGCAAUCCGAAAUGGUGAACUUGUUGAAUUUUUCAAUCAGAAUGGUUUGCAAUAGAGCCAGAGCUCAACAGGUAACCUCAAAGACAAACAGAAAGUACGAGGCACUGUCCAUGUGAUCGUGGGUACUGAGAACGACUGGACAAGCUCAAACACAAAGAGACAGGCAUACAUGAG